rnacentral:rRNA from 1 species
AGCAUCGGUAACAGAGAGUUCGAUCCUGGCUCAGAUUGAACGCUGGCGGGAUGCUUUACACAUGCAAGUCGAACGGCAGCACGGACUUCGGUCUGGUGGCGAGUGGCGAACGGGUGAGGCACGUAUCGGAACGUGCCUAGUAGCGGGGGAUAAUCACGCGAAAGGUAGCUAAUACCGCACAUUGCCUUCGGGAGCGGGGACCUUUCGGGCCUCGCACUAUUAGAGCGGCCGAUAUCGGAUUAGUUAGUUGGUGGUGGGGUAACGGCUCACCAAGGCGACGAUCCGUAGCUGGUUUGAGAGGACGACCAGCCACACUGGGACUGAGACACGGCCCAGGACUCCUACGGACAGCAGGGAAUUUUGGACAAUGGGGAAACCUGGAUCCAGCCAUCCGGGGCGUGUGCGUGAUGAAGGCUCGGGUUGUAAAGCACUUUGGAGAGAAGAACGGCACGAGGACACCAGCAACGACGGUACCUGCAGAAUAAGUACCACAACUACGUGCCAGCAGCCGCGGUAAUACGGGUGGCGUUAACGGAACAGCUGGGCGUAAAGCGCGCAGGCGGUUCGAAAAAGAAAGAUGUGAAAUCCUGUGAGCUUAACUUCAAAACUGCAUUUUAACUGUCGAGCUGAAAAGUCAGAGGGAGAAUUCCGUAUGUAGUAGUAACAGAUAUGCGGAGGAACACCGAUGGCGAAGGCAGCCUCCUGGGAUAACACUGACGCUCAUGCACGAAAGCGUGGGGAUAAACAGGAUUAUUUCGUAGUCCACGCCCUAAACGAUGUCAACUAGCUGUUGGGGCCUUCGGGCCUUGCAGCGCAGCUAACGCGUGAAGUUGACCGCCUGGGGAGUACGGUCGCAAGAUUAAAACUCAAAGGAAUUGGACGGGGACUCGCACAAGCGGUGGAUGAUGUGGAUUAAUUCGAUGCAACGCGAAAAACCUUACCUACCCUUGACAUGUCUGGAAUCCCGAAGAGAUUUGGGAGUGCUCGCAAGAGAACUGGAACACAGGUGCUGCAUGGCUGUCGUCAGCUCGUGUCGUGAGAUGUUGGGUUAACUUCCGCAACGAGCGCAACCCUGGUCAUUAGUUGCUACGAAAGGGCAUCAAUGAGACUGCCGGUGACAAACCAGAGGAAGGUGGGGAUGACGUCAUCCUCAUGGCCCUUAUGGGUAGGGCUUCGCACGUCACAAUGGUCGUGAGAGGUCGCCAACCCGCGAGGGGGAGCCAAUCCCAGAACCUGAUCGUAGUCCGGAUCGCAGUUCGCAACUCGACUGCGUGAAGUCGGAAUCGCUAGUAAUCGCGGAUCAGCAAGCAUGUCGCGGUGAAUACGUUCCCGGUCUGUAUACACACCUCGCCCGUCACAUCACGGGGAGUGGGUUUUACCGGUGGAAGGAAGUUUAGCUUCCACCGUGGCAGGAAGAUUAAUACGGUAGGAUUCAGAUCAAGUGGGAGCCGUAAUAAGGUAG